rnacentral:rRNA from 1 species
UACGUAGGGUGCAAGCAUUGUCCGGAAUUAUUGGGCGUAAAGAGCUCGUAGGCGGUUUGUCGCGUCUGCUGUGAAAACUCGGGGCUUAACCCCGGGCCUGCAGUGGGUACGGGCAGACUAGAGUGCGGUAGGGGAGACUGGAAUUCCUGGUGUAGCGGUGAAAUGCGCAGAUAUCAGGAGGAACACCGAUGGCGAAGGCAGGUCUCUGGGCCGAUACUGACGCUGAGGAGCGAAAGCGUGGGGAGCGAACAGG